rnacentral:rRNA from 1 species
AGCAGCCGCGGUAAUUCCAGCUCCAAUAGCGUAUAUUAAAGUUGUUGCAGUUAAAAAGCCCGUAGUUGAAUUUCGGGAUUAGUAAGUUGGUCGUGCCUCUGGUAUGUACUGGCUUUACUGGUUCCUCCUUCUUGAAGAACUGUAAUGUCAUUAAUUUGGUGUUGCAGGGAAACAGGACUGUUACUUUGAAAAAAUUAGAGUGUUUAAAGCAGGCUAACGCUUGAAUACAUUAGCAUGGAAUAAUGAAAUAGGACGUUUGAUCCUAUUUUGUUGGUUUCUAGGAUUGACGUAAUGAUUAAUAGGGAUAGUUGGGGGCAUUAGUAUUCAAUUGUCAGAGGUGAAAUUCUUGGAUUUAUUGAAGACUAACUACUGCGAAAGCAUUUGCCAAGGAUGUUUUCAUUAAUCAAGAACGAAAGUUAGGGGAUCGAAGACGAUCAGAUACCGUCGUAGUCUUAACCAUAAACUAUGCCGACUAGGGAUCGGAUGAUGUUAAUUUUUUAAUGACUCAUUCGGCGCCUUA